UACGGAGGGUGCAAGCGUUAUCCGGAUUCACUGGGUUUAAAGGGUGCGUAGGUGGGCAGGUAAGUCAGUGGUGAAAUCUCCGGGCUUAACCCGGAAACUGCCAUUGAUACUAUCAGUCUUGAAUACCGUGGAGGUAAGCGGAAUAUGUCAUGUAGCGGUGAAAUGCUUAGAUAUGACAUAGAACACCAAUUGCGAAGGCAGCUUACUACACAGUUAUUGACGCUGAGGCACGAAAGCGUGGGGAUCAAACAGG
rnacentral:rRNA from 1 species